rnacentral:snRNA from 1 species
GUGCUUGCUUACACAGUACAUAUAGUAACAUUGUGAUGAUAUAGAGAAGAUUAGCAUGGUUCCUCCAAUGAGAUGAUACACAAAUUCAUGAAGCCCUCCCUAUUUUC